UGGUGGAGUGAUUUGUCUGGUUAAUUCCGAUAACGAACGAGACUCUGUCCUGCUAAAUAGUUUGCGCCGUCUCUAAAUGCCGGCGCACAACUUCUUCUUAGAGGGACUGGCGGCGUCUAGCCGCACGAGAUUGAGCAAUAACA
rnacentral:rRNA from 1 species